GAUGAACGCUGGCGGCGUGCCUAAUACAUGCAAGUCGAGCGAACAGACGAGGAGCUUGCUCCUCUGACGUUAGCGGCGGACGGGUGAGUAACACGUGGAUAACCUACCUAUAAGACUGGGAUAACUUCGGGAAACCGGAGCUAAUACCGGAUAAUAUAUUGAACCGCAUGGUUCAAUAGUGAAAGACGGUUUUGCUGUCACUUAUAGAUGAAUCCGCGCCGCAUUAGCUAGUUGGUAAGGUAACGGCUUACCAAGGCAACGAUGCGUAGCCGACCUGAGAGGGUGAUCGGCCACACUGGAACUGAGGCACGGUCCAGACUCCUACGGGAGGCAGCAGUAGGGAAUCUUCCGCAAUGGGCGAAAGCCUGACGGAGCAACGCCGCGUGAGUGAUGAAGGUCUUCGGAUCGUAAAACUCUGUUAUUAGGGAAGAACAAAUGUGUAAGUAACUAUGCACGUCUUGACGGUACCUAAUCAGAAAGCCACGGCUAACUACGUG
rnacentral:rRNA from 1 species